rnacentral:lncRNA from 1 species
UAUACAUGUAUUAAUUAAUCUAAAACACAAACAAUCACUAUCCUAAACACAUAAUUGUAUAAUAUCCAAAUACAUGUAUUAACCUAUAUGAAUCCUCAAUAUUAGUUGCCACGUGGUAAGUUUUUCUUCACAUUUACCAGCACGUGAUCCUUACCUUUCUCUCCAUCAAAUUUUUAAUUAACGUAUUUAAUUAAUACAUCUAAAUGGCCUACUGCUAAACUUUCAAUUAAUGUAUUUAAAUAGUACCACAGUCAUUCAUAAUCCUCACUUUUUAAUUUCUAAUUAGUUUAUCACGAUUCUUCCUCUUUUCUCCACUAGACUUUCAAUUUAUCCAUCUAAACGCCCCGUUGCCAUCUACAAUUUUCACCUCUCCAUCUCUGAUCUUUUCUUCUAAACCAUCGCUUCCCUCCCUCUCUCUCACUAAUGCGCGCCUACCUCCUCUCUCCGAACACACAAGAAAAUAUUUGAUAUUAUCUUAUUAUUAAUUAUUUCUACAGCAUCUAUCCACUGCGAAGCGCAAGUUCUUUACUAGUAAACAUAAUUGUAUAUUACACAGACAACUA